UUACCUGAAACCUUUUGAAGUUAAGUUGCAACCCUUUUCUAAACCAUUUUUGAGGAUUUAAUUCCGUGUGUUCAGUGAGUAGCAGACCAUACAGUCACAAUCAUAAGUCACAAUCCAGUUCAUCUUGGUUGCAUAUCUACAUAAAAUUUACUGUACUUCUUGCAAACAUUGUGAUACACUACGUUUGAAAAAGAUCAAUUUGUUGAGCGUCCUUACAUAAACGUAAACGUUGAACAUGGAGAAUUCUACCCAAACUUGUCACUUAAUUUCGUACCUGCCCGAGAUAAUUUCCAAAAUUAUGGGGUAUCCCCCAGCAAAAAUACAGCGUAGGUUCCCAUCUGCCUAUUAAUGCCACACAUGAACCUACUAGUGCCAACUGGAACCUACGCUUUUUCCAUAUAGGAAUUGUCCAAUAGGAAAAUUCGAGCGAAGGAUCCUAUUUGACAAAUUUCCCCCUAUGGUUUCCCACUGCUACCUAUGGGAUCCACAAUUUUUUUUCAAAUAUGCCAACGAAAAUUCCAUUUCGAAUUGGAAACUUAGUGUAUUUAUUCUUAUCGGAAAUUAACCAAUGAGUAAAUAUGAUUUUGUGCAUAUAUAUGUACGUAUCUGAAAAUCAAAACUCUUGUAUGUAAUUUCAUGAAAAUUAUUAUUUUGUUAACAACUUUAAGUAAAUUUAUUCUUGUGAUUAAUCUACUUCGAACAAAUUAGGGACUUCAAUAUAAAAAUAUUCGUUAUUUAUAACACAA